UGAAAUUGAGAGUCCCUUCACCUUUAAAAAGAAAAUAGAUGAGCGGUCUGCACCCGCAAGGCGGUGCUCUUGUAUUUGAUAAUGGUAUCUACCGGUACGUUUAUUAGCAUAUUUAACUUAUUGAUCAGAACUGACAACUUGCGUUUGCUAAAUAUUAAGUUUUUGUCUUUCUUAACGACGAUGUAUAUCAAAUAAAUAUAUACUGAUCAUUAUAUUAAUUUUGCUAUGUUUAUUUUUAUGCCCCCAUUUCGAAGAAAAGGGGGUAUAUAGUUUUUGCACUGUCUGUCGGUCGGUCGGUCGGUCGGUCGGUCAGUCGGUCGGUCGGUCAGUCGGUCGGUCGGUCGGUCACACUUCAUGUCCGCUCUCUAAUUCAAAUAGUUUUCAUCCGAUCUUUACCAAACUUGGUCAGAAGUUGUAUCCAGACAAUAUCUAGGUCAAGUUCGAAUAUGGGUCAUGCCGGGUCAAAAACUAGGUCACUGGGUCACUUAGUGCAUUUCAAGGAUUUAGCAUGGUGUCCGCUCUCUAAUUGAAGUAGUUUUCAUCUGAUCUUAACUACACUUGGUAAGAAGUUGUAUUAAGACAAUAUCUAGGUCAAGUUUGAAUAUGGGUCAUGCCGGGUCAAAAACUAGGUCACGGGGUCACUUAGUGCAUUUCAAGGAUUAAGCAUGUUGUUUGCUCUCUAGUUUAUGUGGCUUUCUGAUUUAUUUUGAUAUUCUAAGACAUUUUUAUGCCCCCGAAGGAGGGCAUAUAGUGAUCGGACUGUCCGUUCGUCUGUCCGUCCGUCUGUCCGUAAGCCUUUGCCAUAAGAUUUCGAAAAAUGCUCAUAACUUCUAUGUCGCUUCAGAUAGCAAUUUCAUAUUUGGCAUGCUUGUGUAUAUGGACAAGGCCUUUCCAUACGCACACAAAUUUUGACCCCUGUGACCUUGACCUUGAACUUAGGGUCCGCGUUUAGGUUCGAAAUCUGCGU